rnacentral:tRNA from 1 species
GAGCCUGGUUUUAUCAAAAAGUAUUAUUAUUUACAUUAAUAAGUUAGUUGUGCAAUUCAACUUAAUUUGAU